ACCUUGAUAUUCAUCUAGGCCCCUCAGCUGACAGGAUCUUUUAGCCUGAGUGUUCUCUGUUCCCCUUGACUCCUAACUCACUUUUUCCCCAGAGAGGGAGUCUGGUUGACCUCACUCACUGGCCAGCCUACUGGUAAAGACCUCCCCCUCAGGGUUUUCUAUGAAUCAACAAAGAUAACAAACAAACAAACAAUGAAGGUAAGAAAUGGGAGAAGAGAAGCUUGCUGAGGUCUAAACAUGGGAGCCUAGUCUGAAGCUGCUGCCUUCCUCCAGAUUUGGCAAAGUAGUCUCUCUAGACUUUUACUCCCUACCUUAUUCCUUAGAUUGGAACUCAAAUUUCUCUCGGUCUUGAGUCACAGAAUUAUAGAUAGAAAAGUGCAAAAUACACCACCUUGUGUUCAGAUCUAGAAACUGAGACCCAGAGAAGCCCUGUGACAUGCCUAACUGCUGGAACUUGCCUUGAAAUUAAGUCUUUAGCCUGGCUACUCAUGUAUUCUGGUGCCAGGGGAACCUCUCCAUAGCUGCCCAGAGAAGUCUCAGAGGUACAACAGCUGCAUGGGUGCCAAGAGUGUUUGCAGACACCAGACGUGGGAGCCUGGAGAGUGCCUGAGCUGCAAGUGCUCACAGCUGAUGUAGGUAGAAGCAGUGUCAUCCCAGCCUGACGAGGACCACCUGGAGAAACCAGAGACCCGAAGCGCAAGACACCCCACCUUGCUCACGCAGCCUGAAGAUUGAUUCAGGGAAGUUACACCGCCCAUAGUGUGACAUGCAACUGUUAUUUCUUGAAAGAGCACCCAUCAAAAUCACUAGUCAUUAAAACGAAUCAAGAGGCUGAAAGGUCCAAGAUCAACAUUCUAGCAGAUUUGAUUUCUGGUGAGGACCCUCUUCCUGGAUUGUCGACAGCCACCUUUCCACUAUGUCUUCAUGCUGAGGAAGGAGGGGGGAGCUGGAGGUCUCCAGUGAAUUUUAGAUGGGAGUAUGGUUGAUUAAUGAUGUUGCAUUCGUUUCAGGUGUAAAAGUGAUUCAGUUGUACAUAUACAUGUAUCUGU
ensembl:lncRNA